GAGGGUGGUGCACCCCAGCUGCUCGGGGCCCCUCCCAGACCUCAGCCUGCCCGCCUCCCUCUCGGGCUGUCCACUGCACCCGUUAAACAGGGGAUGAUGGCCAGCGCACAAGCAAGCUCUAGCACAUGCUGGGAUGGGAAACCCGUCGUGUCCACCCUCACUGGCUUGGGACAGAAGCAUGACCUUUCCAAAAUCAAGGCCCCGACGUCAGUGGUGGACCAUUCCCAAGUCAGAUCCACCACCCACUGACCACAGCACAACAUUCAGCCUGACACCCCGCACCUGGCCUCCCUGUCAUCACUGCUCCCCUGAAGUUCUAGAGCUGAAGCCCGAGGCAGGCCCCGGCUGAGCCCGGAGGGAGACUCUGUUCCAGCCUCUCGCAGCUGGAGGCCGAAGCGCGGCUGGAAGCUCGGC